CAGACCUUUUUGAAUUAAAUAAGUUGCUUGUCUUUGAUAAUGGGAGGCGUUUCUUGAAAUCUUAGCUUUGCCUGCGUUAAUGGAAGAAGGAGCAUCUCAACAUCCAGACCUUUUUGAAUUAGAGGAGGUGCAUUUCUUUGAUUAUGGGAAGCGUUUCUUGAAAUCUUAGCUUUUCCUGCGUUAAGGGAAGAAGGGGCAUCUCAACAGCCAGACCUUUUUGAAUUAAAGAAGCUGCAUUUCUUUGAUUAUGGAAAGCGUCUCUUGAAAUCUUAGCUUUGCCUGCGUUAAGGGAAGAAGCAGCAUGUCAACAGCCAGGAGGAGAUCCUGUUCUCAGAGAC
rnacentral:lncRNA from 1 species